UUUAAAUGUUGAUUUUUAACCUCAGCAUCUGUUAUGUACUUCUAUCAUUUAUUCAGAUGGCUAUAUUGAGCAUUUUUCGACUGAUGCUAGACAAGUUGCUUGGUGGAUCAUGGAAAACCGUGGAGAGUACUUCAAUCGGUCUAAAGUUGUUCUCGACAGAGUAAAGAUGCUAAUUUUCAUAUCAAAGUUACAAUCGAUGGCUUUUGGUCUUCUGGGUGCAGAUCGGAAGAAGUUGAGGCUGUUUGUAUCGGGUUCAAGGGAAAAGGCCAGAGGUUUCGAGAAAAAGUGAAGCCAAUGAAAUGAGUAUGAUCAGUUUCCGUUGAGGCGUUCUCUCUCCAUUAGCUCUCUUCCACAACUCCAAUCUCCAAACCUCAUCUUCUCUGUUCUCUUCAACCAUCACCUUCGUUCCCUUUGUCCGAAAAAAGGUAUGUUUCAUAUUGAUUUACGCCCUAGAUUGUUUCCUUUUUUAAAAAAAAAACCAUCACUUUACGAUUCUUUUUUUUUUUUAAAGAAAAUGUAACAAUCUAACGUGAGAUGUAGAUGAGCUGAAAAGUGUGGUAGUUUCCUACUUACUAAAUGACAAGGUAAAUUUGUCUUAACACUCUUAAAAGUUUUUAAACUAUGUUUUAUACUAAAUUUUGACAUUUUUGUUUAAAUAGAAAAAAACAAGUGAGCAUAAUUCUAAUAAUCCUGUUAGAAGAGUACCAUCGUCGACACAUAUUCCUAUUCCUACUCCUACUCCAAUCAUAAAUUCCCCACCGGUAUUCCUUCCUAACCUUUUUGUUCCUUUGUUAUUUUAAAUUAUUAUUGUUUGAGAUUUUUCUAACCAUAUUAUUGUUGAAAAAGAGUGUUACUACCAACACUCCCCAUAAAUUCUAGCUAGUAAAUUGAGUUUGUUCAGGAGAAGUCAUUGUUGAAGGUAAAUGGUCUUCCAAUGAUCUUGGCCCUAAAGCAGUUCGUGUGUGGGUUGAUACAGUGAAAAUAUCAAAUUCCUUCUUAUGGAGGCCUACCUUUGACGUUAUUGUUAUUGAUGAUGCUUUGGGCACUACUAUUGCAUGGCCAAUGGAUAAAGUCAAACUAUGUGAUUGAUGUGUGGAGAAAACAUUGGAGCAACAUAUAUACGUGGGAUAAUUUUGGUAUUGCUACAAUUUGAACAUAUUUUUUUGAUCCUAUCAACAAUUUGGGAUAUAUAUAUAUAUAUGUAGUCAUUUUAUUUGAAUACAAUUUACUUGUUCUAAUAGUUAAAGACUUUGAAUACAAACCCUUGAAUGAAUAUGAUGCCUCUUUUU